GCUCAGCCCCCUGCGGCCGCUCCUCCUCCUCCGGGGCGGGACGCGCCCUCGGGAGAAGCGAGAAGGGGCGGGGCUGGCGAGGCAGAAGCUCUUCCGCUGCCGGGCUUCCGGCUCCGGGUCCCGGCAGGAGGGGCCGCCGGGCCAGAGGCGGAGCUGUAGCUCUGCCGCGACUUUCAGACGCGGACCAUGGCCUCGUGCUGGUGGCGGUGGCGGCGCGGCUGCUCCUGGAGGCCGGCGGCGCGGAGUCCCGGGCCCGGCUCCCUCGGCCGCGCGGGACUGUCCGGGCUGCGCGCCGCCGCAGCCGCUGCAUCCCGCGCGCAGAUGUCCUAUUUUAAUCUUGUGAAGAGUUUAACAUCUGCCUUUCCAAAUAUGUAUAGUAUAUCACGGUUCCAUCACGUGACGCCAGCAGUGUGCUGCUGUAGUAGAACACGGAGCGGUGAGAAAUACACUGAUCCUUUUAACCUUGGCUGGAGAGACUUGAAAGGUCUGUACGAGGACAUCAGGAAGGAACUAUUCAUAUCUACAACAGAACUUAAGGAUAUGUGUGAAUACUACUUUGAUGGAAAAGGAAAAGCCUUUCGACCAAUCAUUGUGGUGCUAAUGGCCCGAGCCUGUAAUAUUCAUCAUAAUAACUCCCGAAAUGUGCAAGCAAGCCAGCGUGCCAUAGCCUUAAUUGCAGAAAUGAUCCACACUGCCAGCCUGGUCCAUGAUGAUGUCAUUGAUGAUGCAAGUUCCCGAAGAGGAAAACACACAGUUAAUAAGAUCUGGGGUGAAAAGAAGGCUGUCCUUGCUGGCGAUUUAAUUCUUUCUGCAGCAUCGAUAGCUCUGGCACGAAUUGGAAAUACAACUGUUGUAUCUAUUUUAACCCAAGUGAUUGAAGAUUUGGUGCGUGGUGAAUUUCUUCAGCUCGGGUCAAAAGAAAAUGAAAAUGAAAGAUUUGCACACUACCUUGAAAAGACGUUCAAGAAGACUGCAAGUCUGAUAGCCAACAGUUGUAAAGCAGUCUCUGUCCUGGGAUGCCCUGACCCAGUGGUACAUGAAAUUGCCUAUCAAUACGGAAAAAACGUGGGACUCGCUUUUCAGCUAAUAGAUGACGUCCUGGACUUCACCUCGUGUUCUGACCGGAUGGGCAAGCCGACCUCAGCCGACCUGAAGCUCGGGUUAGCCACCGGUCCCGUCUUAUUUGCUUGUCAGCAGUUCCCAGAAAUGAAUGCUAUGAUAAUGAGACGGUUCAGUUCACCAGGAGAUGUGGACAGAGCGAGACAAUACGUAUUACAGAGCGAUGGUGUGCAGCAGACAACCUACCUCGCCCAGCGGUACUGCCGUGAAGCAGUGAGAGAGAUCAGUAAACUUCGACCAUCCCCAGAAAGAGACGCCCUCAUACAACUUUCGGAAAUCGUGCUCACAAGAGAUAAAUGACAGCUCGUUCUGUUAUUUCUGGCAGCUAUUUUACCAGACUGUGCCUAAAGAAUUCUGUGGAGUAUACUUUGCUUCAUGUGCAGGAGCUCCACUGCUGCCGUUAAACCUGCAAAGCACAAGCUUACUUGAAUUCUGAGAAUAAAGUGGACCUCCAUUAACAUGAGGCUGAGCAGAAAACUGAGCCGUCACAGAGGGAGUCCGUCUGUAUCCACCAGAAGAUGUCGAGGAAGUGGUAGAGUUGUGUCGAGAAAUCUGCCUGGUCAUUGUGCCAUACUGGGAACCAGGAGCUGAGCCCGGGGCUGCUGAAAAGCAUUAGUCAAAGGCAACCAACAAAGAACUUGAGCAUUGCAAGUCACCUCCGAUGGCAGAACAAAGAGAAGGAGACUAUCAGCAAGAAAUGUUUAUUACUUUUUAAAGCCCACAGCACAAAAUAAAGAGAAAAGUAAAGAUAAAACACAAACAGCUCUAUCUCUGAAGUUACAAAAAGAAGGAAAAACAGAUACUGUGUGGAAAGUGCAAAAGUAAAUAAGUAAUAUUCUUAAGCCUUUUAAUUUAGCAUAAUACCAAAUGGUAUUUUGCUAAUAAAAUGUAUAAAUUUUUUUCUGUAACAUUUUAAAACAUACAGCUUUUAUAUGUCAACUGUGUCUUUCCAAGAAAAUAAGUACCAAAUGAUAGUCUGAGGUGGAAAGCAUCAGUUUUUAGAUGUGAGUAUCUUAAUAUCUGGUUUACAGACUUCUUCUCCUUUCCAUUGCCAAAUCUUCAGAAGCACAGUAUAAGAAUCUAUCCAGCCAAACCCAGCUUAAAUUAUAAAAUGUAAACAAUUAAGCAUAUUUUCCACAUGCACUACUAUAUUUAUUUGAAUGUUUAAUGUAUUAGCAGUUAUUACCAAUACAUAUUAUAGUAGAAUCAUUUUUAAGAGAAGUAUAAUUUCUAGUUUCAAAGCACUUAUAUAUGUCAGAUUCGUUGUAUAUCUCCCAGCUUUUAAGAAUUACACACUUUGCCCUAUCACUUACAUUUCUGUAACUGAUAAAGCUGAAAAAAAUUUUGGACCUGUAAAACAUGGACAUUUUAAGGCAGCUUUGUGUAGAAAAUCCAUUAUCUUUUUCCAUAUCCUUGGAGGGCUUUUUUUCCGUACUACACCCAAAGCACAUUUUUUUUAUAUUAUGCAUAUCUAAACUAACUGAAGUAUUAACAAUACUUAAAAUUUUAUUUACCAACAUUUCAGAAGUUUAAGAUUUUAAAGGUUAAUAUAAAGUUCAAAGCCUCUAAAGUUAACUAUACCUUCCAAAGGUAACUUCAGGAUUAACAUUAUCCUCCCAAACAUCUAACCAUGACUGAGCAAAUAAAAAGACAACAUCCUGGUUUACUUUCAUUCAGUCAUCCAAUUUAACCUCUCCUAGAGGUCAUAUAAAUUAUUAGAAAAAAGCCAUACAGCAGAGGUUGUUCAUUAAAAGAAGUGCUAAUAUUCAACAUUUUGGAGCUCCCAAGCCAUAGGCAGUCACUAAUUAUUUAAAUCAUCCACAUGCUCAAUUCCUAAACAGAAACACACUUUAUAAAUAAGAGUCUAUUCAAAUGCCUUCAUGAACGAGUAACUCUGGACAGGUAAGUUUUCCAAAGAGCUAAGAAGUAACCCUUUAACCAUUUUUAAUAGAAAUCUCAAUAAAAUGAUUUCUAUAUUUCUUUUGACUUAUAUAAAAACUGUAUAAAAUCCAGGUUAUUUGUCUUGGUGAUUUAAAACCAAAAUAAAGCUAUUUAAUAGCAGUUCCAAACUAUGCCUAUUUUAGAAUUUAUUUUAAUAUUAAAAUAAAAUUAUGAAAUAAAUAAUACCAAACGGUGUAUGAUUGAUAUAUACAUAAUCAUACAUGCUAUAUAUAAAUAAUACAUAUACAUAUGGUUACAUAUACUAAUAUAUAUAAUUAUUUAUACUGGUUAUAUAUAAUUUGUUUACAUAAAUAAAUAUUAUUUAUAUUUUUAUAUAUAUUACAUAUAUUUUUUAAGGAAAAAUACUCAGCUCCAAGAACUAGAAUAUUACCAGUAUCACUGAAGCUUGUUUGCCCCUUCUGAACCCCAAACUCCAAAACAUGUGUUAAACAUUCUCUCUCUUCACUAUACAGUAAGUCCCCUACUCACAAACCUUCAAGUUGCGAACUUUCAAAAGAUGCGAACAUGCAUUCGCGUGUCCAAUCACUUAAAGUUAGUUCACGUGUCUGAUGUACACUGUCAUGUGUGUGCAUCCUCUACAAGUGGUUGUGCUUCUGUGUACUUUACUGUACAGCACUGUAUGGAGUACAGUAGUACAGUACCUUUAUUUCAAGCCCAGAAUGUCCGGAAGCAAGUGUAAAAGCAGCAUUGGUAUAGCUGGUACUACUGUAAUUUUCAAGGUACUGUACUGUAAGAUUAAAAAUGUUUUAUUUUUUGUGUUUGUUAUGUAUUAUCUGUGUGAAAAGUGUUAUAAACCUAUUACAGUACAGUACUACAUAGCCAAUUGUGUUAGUUGAUACAUAGGCUAACUUUGUUGGACUUAGGAACAAAUUGGACUUAAUGAACGCGCUCUCAGAACGGAACUCGUUCGUAUGUAGGGGACUCACUGUAUGCAGUUUUUUAAAAAUCAUAGAUAAUUAUAACCUUAAACAGUACACACAGAGACCUUGCAAAUUUAUAAACUUUCAUAAUGGAAUGAUUCUGUAUUGAUUAUGUAUUUCUGCUGUUUUCCUUUGAUAUUAUCUUUUAAGAUUCAUCCAUGUUGAGAAGUAUAUCAUUCAUUUUUAUUGCUUUAUUUGCAUAUGAACAUGCCACAAUUAUUUAUCCAUUCCACUGUAGACAUUUGGGAUACAUCCAGAUUUUUGCUAUUAUUAUUAUACCGCUACUGUGAACAUUCCUAAAUAUGGUUCCUAAGUUUCUCUGGAACAGUGGUUCGCAAACUUCAGCAGUGAUCAGAAUUUCACCUUGAGGGCUUGUUACAAUACAGGCUGCUGGGCUCCAGUCUCAGAGUUUCUGAAUGAGUAGGUCUGGAAUGGGACCUGAGAAUUUGCAUUCCUAACUAGUUCCCCCAUGAUGAUGAUGCUGUUGGUCUGUAAAUCAUACUCCAAAAGCCACUGCUCUAGUAUAGUAGUUUUUAAACUUUAUGGUCUUAGGAGCCACUCUAAAAUUAGAGAACCUCAAAAAAUUUUUGUUGAAGUGGGUUAUACCAUAUUAGAAACAUUAAUUACCAUAAUUAACUGAUUAAUUACCAUAUUAGAAAUUAAAACUGAUUUAUCUUUAAAAUACAUAAAUACACAAAUACACAAUCCAUUAGUUGUCAAAAAUGAUGUUAUCAUAUGUUAUGUAGCCUCUGGAAAAUUCCACUGUGUACUUGUACCAGAAUGAGAAUAAAAAAGGCAAAUAAGUCUUAGUAUUAUUAUGGAUAUAGUUCUGACCGCAAAAACUCCAAGAAAGGAUUUUGGCAACCCCCAGGAGUUCCAAAACCAUGUUUUGAGAACCAGUACGCUAGGGCAAAUAUCUAGAAAUGAAACUGAUAAAUCUAAGGUAGAAACCUCGUUCAACUUGACUGGGUAACAACAAAUUAUGUUCUAAAGUGACUGAAUCAACAAAUAAACUCCCACCAGCAACGUACCUUUCUGUUACUGCACAUCCUCAUCAACACAUGGUACUGGUGGACUUCUACAUUUUUACCUAUCUGGUAGCUAUAAAAUAGUAUCUCGUAGUUUUUGUUUUCCUGAUUAUUAAUUAGGUUGAGGGCAUUUUUUUUCCACAUGGACUUUCUGCCAACAAUUUCUAUUACUUGGGUCUUUUGUUUAUUACUUCCUUUUCCCCUCUCCUCUGAGUACAAGUGCCAACGUUUUGAAAAGAAGUUGCUAGAUGGCUUUAUUUCACCUAAGCUCUCAAUAUGUGAAACAGCUCUUUAUCCAUUUCCACCCAAAUGCUACUGUGCAUUUCUAGGCUGAAUGAUUUUAUACCAAGUCUAUAUUUGGAAUUCCUUAUAUGCUCAAUCCAGUCUCCCCCAACUUGGGAGCAAUUUAAAUGUAUUUUAUUGAACAAAAUGUUUCAUGGCAUCCUCAGAUGCCAUAAAUCCUGGGCUAUAUCAGAGUUUUUCAGCUGUGACCCACUGGAAAGCCUCAGGGUACCCCACACCGCACACCAUUCUCUUUUUCAUCUUCUUCCUCUUGUCCCCCACCUUCACCCCACUCCUGUGACUGUGGUAUAUACCAGGGAGUUCCAAAUCAAGUUUCACUUUAAAAAAAUAUUACAUCACUAUUAAAAAAAAUUUUUUUUGAACAAUCACUGCUAUAAUAUUCCUAGAAAAAUCUAAACAGAACAAAUGCAAACCACAUUAAAUUGGUUAUAAACUAGGCAUAGAAGCAUCUGACAUCACAGAGAAGUUUCUGUGUAACUUCAGAGGCCUUGCACCAGAAGAAAUUAGUGUAAAUUAGAUUUAAUACUUUAAACUUUGUAUUACCACCUACAACCUAACAACUACAAAAGCGAGCCGUCUAACAGAGGAGCUUACUGUGAACUCUGCACAGUAAGGUAAAUCACUCCGGUGGUUAUGCAGUCUCACCUAUCACAGUGUUCAGGGGCAGAAGUAGUGGAAGAGGUGGUGCUGGUGGAGCUCCAGAAGGAGGAGGGUCAGAAAUGUUUUCUAAUAAAAUAGUUUAUAAUUCAGGUCAGAGUGCAAUAAACAGAACUAAUCAUUCUGAAACAGUAAGGAAGUACGUUUUGGAAAUAAGAAAAAAAGAGAAAGAUACCCAUAUGUAAAGCAUGUUCGAAUGAGUAAGAAUUUUACUAGGUAAAAAGAUCAUUGAGUUCACGCAUUCAUUAACUAUAAAAUAUGCCUGUUUUUAUAAGUAGCUUUUUCUCCCUUUUCAACAACAUCCUUGAGAAACUAAGUAUUUUUCCCUAACAACUUUUGAUUAUCAAACUUACUUUUAAAGUGUGUACUUUUAACACCAUAAAGUCCUCCUUUCACUUAAUAAAAAAAUCAAGGGACCAAUUUAAUGCU